CUCCUCUCCACGGGAUGGCAGGCGCUGGAGCGGCAAGGGGCUGAGCGCCCACGGCAGCCGGCCGCUCUCCUCGCUCCCGUCCUCUCCCAGCUGGGAUCCCAAGCUGGAUGUUGACCCUGGAGCUCUUGCUGCCACACUGUCCUGUCACGGCUUUCUCCUCCAUCGGCUGUAGCAGCAAUGCCAGUGCCCCUGGGUGACUGCAGUGAGGAGCUCCCAGCCUGC